rnacentral:misc_RNA from 1 species
CUGGGUUUCACUCUUCUCGCUCAAAACUCAACAGAUACAGAGGCAUCUUCUCAAACAGAGUAGUACCCUUCAGGGUCAAUGUCAAGUCCCUUGGUUCUCACCACCACCGAUUCAACAUGCCCCUUGAGUGUGUUAAGCUCCCUUAACCUUGCUACUUCUGCACGCCUUUUGGCCUGCUCAGCAAUCUCAGACAAGUCCCUGUAAUAAUUCUUAUCUUGGAAGAGUAAUGGAGUUUCAUAAGACGGCGAUGGGUAAUCAGGAGGCUGCAGUCCUCGCCGGGAAGGAUGAGCAGUUUUUAGGCGCCGAAGGGCUGAUUUUGGACGAGGAUUCCUUGGAAAUCUAGAACACAAUACACCAAAGGCAAAGAUUAAUGGCCAAACUGAAAUUUUGAUAGGACUGUCAGCUUUCUGAGACAAAAAGGCAUAAGCAAUUGCUGCAGAAGCACAUUGGAAGAUGCCACAAACUAAUCCAACAAUAUCAGCAAAUGUCCCCAGAGGCUUGUAACUUGGAUAUGGGGAGUAAAACCAAGGUAUGAUCUUGCCUCUCCUCAUCCAUUUAACUCUUUCUCUUCGACCCAUACGAGCAAGAUCAAUAAUGGAGAUGAGCAUCACUGUGAAAGACAUGAUCAUGCUAAUUAGAGCAUAUUGGGGUUUGUGCACUGAGGAUAGCUGAUCAAAAACAGCUGAUGGAAGCUCGACAGCUAAAUUUGUGAUCAGGAAAAUCUUUUCCAGGGCUUUAUCCCUUCGAAUAUUGGAGCCAUCCUUCCUGUUCUGCUUCUUUUCUUGAUCAUCACCAAUGCGGAGGGCAUCCUCUGAUUCAGUCAAACUAUCUUCUAUUACCCUUUGGUUCAAAGCAUUUGCUGGGCAGUGUGAUUCCAAGUCUCCUUUCUCAUUAGCAUCUUUUAUAUCUAUACGGGUGUCAACACCGUCGAACGGCUGACGAACAGAAGACUUAGUUUCCAACUCACUCAUUACUGGAUGAUGGAGAUCUUGAAGAUAUAGCUAGACCUGUGGAUGAUCGUUGAAGGAUUUAGAUUGCUAGCUUCCGCAUCUGCUUCUGCCCCUGCCAG